AUUUAUUCUCAGGGCGGGGCGAAAUUCCCCACCGGCGGUAUAUCUUUAACAAGAUGAGCCCGCGAGCGCUCGAUUCGUCGAGGUCAGCAGAUCUGGUGAGAUGCCAGAGCCGACGGUUAUAGUCCGGAUGAGAGAGAAUUGAU
rnacentral:ncRNA from 1 species